rnacentral:tRNA from 1 species
GCUGCGAUGGCUGAAAGUUAAGGCGUUGGACUCGAAAUCCAAUGGGAUAUUGCCGCGCAGGUUCAAAAUCUUGUUCGCAGCG